rnacentral:tRNA from 1 species
UGGCUCAGACAGGUAAAGCAUCUGCCUACAAUGCAGAAGACCCGGGUUCGAUCCCCUG